UCGCCAAGGUUGGUUCCCAUCUACUUUCGGCUUCACCGAGACACCAUCAAACAACCUCGAUCACCACUGCGAAGAUAAACCCUUUACAGCCCUCACAACCCUCUACAACUACGGCCUUUCGGUUCCCAAAACCGCCAACUAACGAAGAGUACGUAGAAGGCUGAAGGAAGGUUUACUAGUACUUGUGUGCGGUUGUGAGACUAAGCUUAAUAAGGUAUGCGUGGCACGUCAUGAGCGACCGUUUCACAACAACUAGUAGCAAGUUAUUAAUAACGUAGAUCACCUAAAGACAAUCAGUUGGGUUUUAUUCAAUUCAGUUUGUAACGACAUUUUGGGUAGUUGGUUU